rnacentral:rRNA from 1 species
UGGGGAAUAUUGGACAAUGGGCGAAAGCCUGAUCCAGCCAUGCCGCGUGUGUGAAGAAGGUCUUCGGAUUGUAAAGCACUUUAAGUUGGGAGGAAGGGCAGUAAGCGAAUACCUUGCUGUUUUGACGUUACCGACAGAAUAAGCACCGGCUAACUCUGUGCCAGCAGCCGCGGUAAUACAGAGGGUGCAAGCGUUAAUCGGAAUUACUGGGCGUAAAGCGCGCGUAGGUGGUUCGUUAAGUUGAAUGUGAAAGCCCCGGGCUCAACCUGGGAACUGCAUCCAAAACUGGCGAGCUGGAGUAGGGCAGAGGGUGGUGGAAUUUCCUGUGUAGCGGUGAAAUGCGUAGAUAUAGGAAGGAAUACCAGUGGCGAAGGCGACCACCUGGGCUCAUACUGACACUGAGGUGCGAAAGCGUGGGGAGCAAACAGG